UUUUUUUUUUUUUUUUUUUUUUUUUUUUUGGCCACACCUGAGGCAUACGGAGGUUCCCAGGCUGGGGGUCAUCAAAUUGGAGCUGCAGCUGCCAGCCUACACCACAGCCACAGCAACACAGGAUCUGAGCCAUGUCUGUGACCUACACCACAGCUCACGGCAACGCCGGAUCCUUAACCCACUGAGCAAGGCCAGGGAUGGAACUCGAGUCCUCAUGGAUACUAGUCCAGUUCUUAACCUGCUGAGCCAAGAUGGGAACUCCUCAGAAGACAUUUUGUUUCACUUUUAUGGAUAGCCUCAGCUGAUGAAGCUUUGGCAACAAGUGCUGGGAGCAGGCAAACCUAUGUCAGAGAGCGACCGACUGGACUACCUGACAAUAAUACCUAAAGGAUCAGUAAGCUUGGUAUUCCUCUGUCUAUCCUUUCUUUGUGAACUUUGCCCUUUUAAAUAAUGCUUUUGUUUCCUUAAGCCAGUCUUGACCAUUGGUAGGCAAUCAGAAGUAUUCACAUUUGAAGGAAAUUUUAUCAAUUUUUUUCCUCCAAGGAUUAGUAUGACCAUGAGUUUAGCUUCCUGUCAAGAAAAAUGCUAUGUUCAAAGUAUUAUUUCCUUCACUUCUAAUUACAAAUAAGUUUUACCUUUUAUUGUGUUCCAUUAUACAAUUUUACAUAGUACCAUUAUUAUUUUAAGCAACAAUUAAGCAAAUCGAAUGGAUGUUUUUGAGCUCUACUUCUCAGUAUAUAGAUUUACCUAAAAAAGUACAAAGCAAGCACAGUGGUGCAAUUUUCCAGGCACUUUCAAGUUGCUUAAAUAUUUACAAAUAUGUAAGCACCCUGUUGGAAAGCAUGAAAAUUUUGGUGUCAGGAAGAAACACUCCAUGUACAGCAAAUCUUUAAAUUUUAACAUUUGCACAGCUCCAAAUAUUCCUGAGAGAGUUCAUUCUUGUUGUCACUUUCCAUCUGCACGUCUUCAUAUUUCAGCAGCGUAUCUUGGGGAACCAUAACCUCUGUCACCCGAUGUCCCACUAAUUGCACAAAAUACAUGUAAUGUGUUGCUCAUCCAGGGGGAAUGCAUUGUGUCUUCUUGUAAUAUCUAAAACAAAAGAAAUCCCCAUGUUUAUCAUGAAGCAAAACAGCCACUGCCAAAAAAGUAUGUGUAUAUGAAAUCACAGGCAUAUUUCAAUUCAUCACUGACACUUAGCUAUUUCACAUGAUAUAAAGCAGAAAGAGCAAAGAAAAACAUUACCGACUCAAGUCUUCAAAGCUGUAUUACAAAGGCAGCAUAUCAAAAAAGCAGAAAAGAUCUGGUUACUCAUUUAGAAAAACAAAAGGGUGUAAACAGCAAAAUUCAAUAAAAAGCGAGAGGUGAUACAGUCUUUGAAAUAUUUUUUUAACAGAUGGUCAUGACAAGAGGCCUAAACAGUGGACUGGUUGAUACAAUUUACAGAUCAUCUUCUUAUCGUGGUUCCCAGAUCACCUGUGGGGCUUUUCAAACAUGCAGGUACCCAUAUUCUCCUUCCCUGGAGACUUGGGAAAUAAUAUUGAGUGAGGAGAAAAUGAGUGAAUAUUUCUAAAGACACACUAUAAUUGUACAAGUUAAUGGAUACAAAAGAUUCUUCUUGGAAAUGAAGAACUCCAUCAAUAAAAAUAUUAUAUCUCAUAAGUAUAUAAGUAUAUCCCAUAAGUAUAUAAGCAUACAUAUAUUCAUAUUAGUAUAGAUAUUUUAAAAAUACCCAUUUUGGGAGUUCCCGUCAUGGUACAGUGGUUAAGGAAUCCGACUAGGAACCAAGAGGAACUCCUGCAAUUACUAGUCUUAACAUAAUAUAAAUCCCUCUUAAAAAGUCAAAAGCUUGAAGAGCUUUUGGCAUAGUGUAACAGAUUGCAUUGAAAAAGGCCAAGGAGUAGCCCAGCUGUAUCUUUUUUGUCAAGUAAUCAUUUACAGAGCUCAACAGAUAAUUCACAUUUCAGUGCACAACUAUAUUUUAUGUUGUAUUAUUACCUUUUCCUUUGGGAACUAAUGUCUCAAAGUGUAUGACCAAAAAAAAAAAAAAAGGCUCUCUUUUAUAUGAGACUCUAAUAGGAAAUACUGAUUCACAAAAAUUCACUAUAAAGUCAACAUUUGCCCAAAGGAAGGCACACCUGAAUAUGAUUGAGGCCUUAUGACAGCACAGCCUGCAUCAAUAUAAACCAAUAGAAACUAAGGUUUUUCUUGGUUAGCUAUCAGUAUAUAACAUCAAGGGUCUAAAAAUAUUAGUCUCUAGAACUAAAUAAAAUAGCCAUGAUUUAUGGAAAUUAAAAGAGAUAGGUGGGAAAUAUGACAACAGAUUUGUAAAAUCCAUGCUUUGCAUCAUCAAAAAAAAGAGAUAAAAGGAGUUCCCGUUGUAGCUCAGUGGGUUACAAACGCGACUAGUCUUCAUGAGGAUGUGGAUUCCAUUCCUGGACUUGCUCAGUAGGUUAAGGAUCCAGCAUUGCCCUGAGCUGUGAUGUAGAUCGCAGACAUGACUUGGAUCCGGUGUUGCUGGAUCUGAUUUGACCCCUAGCCUGGCAGCUUCCAUAUGCCACAGGUGCGGCCCUAAAAAAGCAAAGCAAAAAAAAAAAAAAAAAAAAAAAAAAAGAGACAGAGAGAGAGAUCAAAGGCCUCAAAACGGAGUCACUUGUGCUAAGCCUACAUCACCUCAACGAGACUCAAUAUCUAACCUAAUUUCAGUUUCAGCCUUUUCUAGGCAGGUAAUCUUAACCAGUCAAAACUGUGUAUGUAUGACUUUCAAUCUGGAAUUACCUGGUUGGCACUAGUGAGGUGGUCCACCUGACAGACCACUGUUGUGCCCAGGGGAAGGUGACCUUGCCUGAAACAAUCAGCUCUUUUCUAGAAUAACCUCUUUGUCCUGCCUCCUUCUACCUGUAAAAGCCCUCCAUUUUGUAAAGCUCUAUGGAGCUCCUUUCUAUCUGCUUGGUGGGAUGCUGCCCACUUCGUCAAGCACCAAAUAAAGCUGAGAUCUUUAAAAUUUACUCAGGUGUAUUUCGUUGUUUAACAAGGGCAAAACGAACUUUAUAAAACGACUACUCUAAAUGUCUUGAUCACAGUAAUAGCAGCAAAUCGAAUAAUUUGCUUUCAAUUUGAAUAAUUUAGAGGUCAAGGCUAGGUCAUACAGUUGCAUGCAAAGCAUAUCAUUGUAAUAUAAUACACGUUGGCUUAACAUGAUGUAAUUGUUUUAUAUCUUUUGUGAAGGAGGAGUUUUUGCUGUCUUUUCCUAAGGACUGUGGAGAACAGCAAGGCAGAAGCCGGACAGUUUCUGGGAACAAAUUAUGUCGUCUAUUCGAUCAAAGCAUACUCCAGAACAGGGAUGGUGAAGAGGGGUGUACCCCCCACCCACUGUAAUCAUGGGCCGAGCUUGAGAUACAGACAGUAAAGGAAGCGGAAUGACCCCCUACCUGCCUCCUCCUCAUCACCUGGCUACUGCGGGAAGGAGGCAAAAAGGGGCCUCUGCAAACAGCAGCCAAGGUAUGUCUCGGAACAGUUUCCACUCGGUCCUAAGCGGGCUAACAGAGGUAAAGAGGGCAGAAAGAAGAAAUGGAACACUGAUUCCAGACUCCUCAGGCCGACCAGAUUCCCAGCCAUGACAACGGGAGAGUAAGCAUCUCAUCGAACAGAUGGGAUGAUGCAAGGCUGAUGGACUGGCUUUUCCACACUGAGAAGAUGACAAUGGUUAGAAAACGAGACUCCUGGAGUUCCCAUCGUGGCUCAGUGGUUAGAGAAUCCGAUUAGGAACCAUGAGGUUCCCUGGCCUCGCUCAGUGGGUUAAGGAUCCGGCAUUGCCAUGAGCUGUGGUUUAGGUUGCAGACGUGGCUUGGAUCCCGCGUUGCUGUGGCUGUGGUGUAGGCCGGUGGCUACAGCUCCGACUCGACCCCUAGCCUGGGAACCUCCAUAUGCCAUGGGAGCGGCCCAAGAAAUGGCAAAAAAAGACAAAAAAAAAAAAAAAAAAAAAAAAAAAAAAAGAAAACGAGACUCCUGGUCACUCGGUGUGAAUGUGGGCUAAUUAUACCUAAAUUUUCCCAAGUCCUUUCUAAGAGAAAGCAUACAAGAUCAAUUCCAGGAGGCAGAGCUUGCUUCGGAGUCACCUAGCUUUUGGUUUCCUCGAAAUGUCUCUUCUCUCCUCCAUCGUUACACUGCAGCUCUUUGGGUACUGACUACUGGCGGCCGAGUGCUAGGUACCUCCUUUGUGUGACGGUCUCACAGAGGGGACUGCCUUCAAGCAAUCACUGAAACGCAGAGAGCAGGACAGAGGACGAACCAGCGCUAGGAACACAUUCUCUAAAUGGUCGUGGUCUCCGGAGGAGACAGUUUGGGGGUGGGGGGGGUGUGCUUGGUUUAUGGGGUGGAAAUCCUGUGAAACUGGAUUGUUACGGUCAUUACAUAACUACAGAUGUGAUAAAUUUAUUUGAGUAAUAAAAAAAUAAAUUAAAAAAAAAAUAAAUGGUCGUAAUCAUCCUUGUUUCUUUUAAGGAGUCUUCACUGCAUUUAAAAUUUUUUGCUUGUUUGUUUUUAUCUGUGCCCACGGCGUGCAGAAGUUCCUGGGCGAGGGAUAGAACACACGCCACAGCAGUGACCCAGGGCACGGAUGUGACAACACCUCUGUGCCACCAGGGAACUCUCCGCCACACACACCAAUGAAAAGAAAAAAGGGAGUUCCUGCCAUGGCUCAGGGGUUAACGAACCCAACUAGGAUCCAUGAGGAUGCAGGUUUGAUCCCUGACCUCGCUGAGUGGGUUAAGGAUCCGGCGUUGCCGUGAGCUGUGGCGUAGACCAGAAGCCGUAGCUCCGAUUCGACUCCUACCCUAGGAACCUCCAUAUGCCGUGGGCGUGGCCCUAAAAAGACAAUAGACAAAGAAAAAAUGAGUUUGAAGAGUUUCUAAAGCAAUUAUUUCUUAUUGAGUGUUUUCUUUAGUAAGGGAAUGAAGGAGACUUUAUGAUAAGCUUAAUAGACUCAGGCACCGAGGGAACCAGAACAUCACACUGUGACUUUUAUGACGGUGCUGAAGAUGUUAAAAGACUUUGGUGGCAAUCCAGAUACAGAGUGGGUUGUAAUCACAGAUUUUAGGACCUCAGUGUAGGAAUGACGUUUACCAGGAUAAUCCAGAAGUAAUCUGGCUUUAAGGUAAGAAGGUAUAUAAAAGCCAUACCACCUGAUUAUGACAUCAUUUCAACUCUAAGUGGUGAGCUGAUCUUCUAUAUUUUUCAGAUUGUGUUUUUACUAAGUUAUCUGUAAUUGUCAAUCAUGCUCAGUCAUAGAUUAAAAUGCUAGGUUUUAUGAAAAUAGUUUUGCAGGCUGCAUG
rnacentral:lncRNA from 1 species